rnacentral:rRNA from 1 species
GGUACAGCCGGGCCGAGGGCGGCGGUACUACGGGGGGUCCGGUGGUUAAUCGGAAGUACUGGGCGUAAAGCGAACGGAGGCGGUCUGUUAAGUCAGAUGUGAAAUCCCCGGGCUCAACCUGGGAACUGCAUUUGAAACUGGCAGGCUUGAGUCUUGUAGAGGGGGGUAGAAUUCCAGGUGUAGCGGUGAAAUGCGUAGAGAUCUGGAGGAAUACCGGUGGCGAAGGCGGCCCCCUGGACAAAGACUGACGCUCAGGUGCGAAAGCGUGGGGAGCAAACAGGAUUAGAUACCCUUGUAGUC